CGAACGGGUGAGUAACACGUGGGUUACGUGCCCCGAUGAUUGGGACAACCCGAGGAAACUCGGGCUAAUACCAAAUGUGCUCCUGGUUGUAAUGACCUUGAGGAAAGGAAGCUUCGGCCUCCGCAUCGGGAUCGGCCCGCGGCCCAUUAGCUAGUUGGUGGGGUAAUGGCCUACCAAGGCGACGAUGGGUAGCUGGUCUGAGAGGACGAUCAGCCACACUGGGACUGAGACACGGCCCAG
rnacentral:rRNA from 1 species